GGUUCACGGUGGGAUUCCGGCUCCACGCCUGAUCAGCCAUACCGUAUCUUAGCAACCCUCAGGCUGAGAGUGUCAGUCCCCCUGAAUGCACUGCUGUCACCGCUGAGGGGUCAGGCGGUCAGUGCUCGGGCUCGGGGGCAGUGAGGCGUGUUCAUGUUUGAGGAGUGAAGACCGGAGGAGCUGGGGAGGCACUGCGGCUGUGAGAGCGGGGGGGCAUGCCGAGAACAGAGAAGCAGGGAAAAUCUACCACAGAAAAGAAUGGAGAAACUUGCCUUGAUGACAAACUCCGGUGUGGGUUUUCAAAGAUCAGUAUAUAAACAAAAACAUUGUCCCCUCUAUAGAGGCCAUUUAUCAAGUCUACAGAGGCUCAUCUUGAAGGUCACAGGGGUCAAAUGGGAGGUAAGGCAAGUAAGGCACUGUCAGUUCCGGUUAGUCAUCGUAAUCCGGGGGAAUCGUACACCUGCCUGCUUCUCUGCUGGAAUGCGUUAGAAUAACUAAAGAAAACAGAAUGAUGCUUUGUAGUGCGCCAUGGGAUUCUAUGUGUGUAUUGGCUUCUUGCUGUCUGGUCUCAGUGCAGGUUCUCUGUGUUUGUGUGUGUGUGUGUUGCAGUCCUGUCUGCCGAGGAGGAGGAUGAAUAAUAAAUGCAGUCUGAAGUUUGGAUUCAACGUGUUCAGACUACUGAGCAGAGCUGAGCCCAUCCACAGCCCCGGCCUGAGCCAGUGCCCUAUGAUACGA
ensembl:lncRNA